GACGAACGCUGGCGGCGUGCUUUAACACAUGCAAGUCGAACGUGAUUUUUGUGGAAAUUCUUUCGGGAAUGGAAAUGAAAUGAAAGUGGCGAACGGGUGAGUAACACGUGAGCAACCUACCUUACACAGGGGGAUAGCCGUUGGAAACGACGAUUAAUACCGCAUGAGACCACAGAAUCGCAUGAUAUAGGGGUCAAAGAUUUAUCGGUGUAAGGAGGGCUCGCGUCUGAUUAGCUAGUUGGAAGGGUAAAGGCCUACCAAGGCGACGAUCAGUAGCCGGUCUGAGAGGAUGAACGGCCACAUUGGAACUGAGACACGGUCCAAACUCCUACGGGAGGCAGCAGUGGGGAAUAUUGCACAAUGGGGGGAACCCUGAUGCAGCGACGCCGCGUGAGCGAAGAAGGUUUUCGAAUCGUAAAGCUCUGUCCUAUGAGAAGAUAAUGACGGUAUCAUAGGAGAAGCCCGGUA
rnacentral:rRNA from 1 species